UUGCCGGAAAAGCGUUUCCGAUUUUCAAUAUUUUCGGAAACGGCCCGGAAACGUUUCCGAGCCGUGUCGGUGCGUUUCCUCGUCGGAAACGUUUCCGACACUGGGAAACGGCACUCGGUGCCGUUUCCGUGCUUCAUAGAUGAGAGCUAAUCCCAAUUAAAGACAAUCAAAAUGCUUGGUAGCAUCAUCUGUGCAAAAACCAAGUGAAUAUAUAAACGUAUAAUAACUUCUUCAUCAACUUUCAACAGCACACAUUUCAUUCCCAUGGGAAAUAAAAGAAAAAACUGAGAACCUACAACAGUUCAAGUCUCCAAUUUAUUUUGAAAAGAUUCAAAAGAAUUAAUCCUUAAUAGCAUUCUGGAAAUAAGAUAGGGCAAUUCAACAUCAGUGUAAUUCUUUUAUCUUGUUAUCUUGCUUGUUACCCCCUUAAAACCCCCAAGGUCUUUUCUCCAAGUUUUCUUCUUGAUAAAUGAGUGAUCCAACAAUUAUAACAGGUGAUAUAACACCAUAACAACUUUGAAUUUAAUCAUAUGCGUAUCUUCCUAAAGAUAACUUAGAAAUAAAAUAUGAAAUUUAUUAUCAACUAGUCUAAUGUCCCUAGAUGGUGAAACUCAAUUCUUU
rnacentral:misc_RNA from 1 species